rnacentral:lncRNA from 1 species
AAACGAUGGCAACAGUAAGAGCCACCUUACUUAUGUACGCACCGUCUCCAUUCUUCUCUCUCUCUCUCUCUCUCUCUCUCUCUCUCUCUCUCUCUCUCUCUCUCUCUCUCUCUCUCUCAGACAGGGUCAAAUCUGCUCUACAAUGCCUGGCUUUACACCUUCCUGAGAAUCAUAUCCAGAGUCCUUGGGUUGAAUUCUGAUUUCCAACUCACAGACUACGUGCGUCAAGAAAGGUGAGGUGUUGCUGUGAGCUUGUGAGAGACCUGCAGGCAUAUCGGAUAUCAGCUCACUGAAAAGUAUCUGCCUGGGUG